GAAAGGGAAGCUUACCUUUGAGGUUGGAGAUGAGAAAAUCGAGUUUAUACUGUCUCAAUUCACGAAAGGCCCCACCUUCAAGAACUCUUGUUGUAGACUCGAGAAAGUUGAAGGACAUAUCGAUAAACCCACCUAUGAACAAGUCCCUCCUGACAUACUAAAAUCCCACCCAGUAAAUGAUAUCUUCCAGAAUACGAAACACAAAGAGGGUGAGGAUUAUGAGAAUAUACUAGGUGGAUUUCGUGAUACUCAUGACCAGAUUUUUAAAGAAUGCCAAAUGUUGGCACAUGGGAAGAUUCACACAGUGAAGAAGAAACUCCCACCUCCUCUCACCGGAAAGAAAGCAAAAGGGAGAACACCUAUUAGAUGGUUGGAUGUGUUCAAAUGGAUCUCUAAGAAUGUUGAGUACAAUGUUAAGGAUAUCAGUCUGAAAGAGGCGCUCUCUUGAUUUACGGGUCGUGCAAAGUCGAGCUAACCGACUUUAAACAAAGCGCUGCGUGGGAGGCAACCCACGAGUUUUAAAUUCAAUGUUUUCAUUUGAAUUUGCAGAAAAUAACGAGA
rnacentral:lncRNA from 1 species